CCAAUAGCGUAUAUUAAAGUUGUUGCAGUUAAAAAGCUCGUAGUUGAAUUUCGGGGUUAGUAGGUUGGUCAUGCCUCUGGUAUGUACUGGUCUCACUGAUUCCUCCUUCCUGAUGAACCGUAAUGCCAUUAAUUUGGUGUUGCGGGGAAUUUGGACUGUUACUUUGAAAAAAUUAGAGUGUUUAAAGCAGGCAUUUUGCUUGAAUACAUUAGCAUGGAAUAAUAAAAUAGGACGGCAUGAUUCUAUUUUGUUGGUUUCUAGGAUCACCGUAAUGAUUAAUAGGGAUAGUUGGGGGCAUUAGUAUUCAAUUGUCCGAGGUGAAAUUCUUGGAUUUAUUGAAGACUAACUACUGCGAAAGCAUUUGCCAAGGAUGUUUUCAUUAAUCAAGAACGAAAGUUAGGGGAUCGAAGACGAUCAGAUACCGUCGUAGUCUUAACCAUAAACUAUGCCGACUAGGAAUCAGACGAUGUUAAUUUUUUAAUGACUCGUUUGGCACCUUACG
rnacentral:rRNA from 1 species